rnacentral:rRNA from 1 species
GUGAGGAAUUUUCCGCAAUGGGCGAAAGCCUGACGGAGCAAUGCCGCGUGAAGGAUGAAGGCCUAUGGGUUGUAAACUUCUUUUCUCAGAAAAGAAUUAUGACGGUAUCUGAGGAAUAAGCAUCGGCUAACUCUGUGCCAGCAGCCGCGGUAAGACAGAGGAUGCAAGCGUUAUCCGGAAUGAUUGGGCGUAAAGCGUCUGUAGGUUGUUUAAAAAGUAUUCUGUCAAAGAUUAGGGCUUAACCCUAGAUAGGCAGAAUAAACUUUUAAGCUAGAGGUUGGUAGAGGCAGAGGGAAUUCCCGGUGGAGCGGUGAAAUGCGUAGAUAUCGGGAGGAACACCAAAGGCGAAGGCACUCUGCUGGGCCAAUACUAACACUGAGAGACGAAAGCGAGGGGAGCAAAUGGGAUUAGAAACCCCAGUAGUCC